GUGCUCGCUUCAGCGGCACAUAUACUAAAAUUGAACGAUUACAGAGAUUAGCGUGGCCCCUGCGCAAGGAUGACACACAAAUCCGUGAAGCGUUCAAAAAAAAA